UUGAACGCUGGCGGCAUGCCUUACACAUGCAAGUCGAACGGCAGCACGGGUGCUUGCCCCUGGUGGCGAGUGGCGAACGGGUGAGUAAUACAUCGGAACAUGUCCUGUAGUGGGGGAUAGCCCGGCGAAAGCCGGAUUAAUACCGCAUACGAUCUACGGAUGAAAGCGGGGGACCUUCGGGCCUCGCGCUAUAGGGUUGGCCGAUGGCUGAUUAGCUAGUUGGUGGGGUAAAGGCCUACCAAGGCGACGAUCAGUAGCUGGUCUGAGAGGACGACCAGCCACACUGGGACUGAGACACGGCCCAGACUCCUACGGGAGGCAGCAGUGGGGAAUUUUGGACAAUGGGCGAAAGCCUGAUCCAGCAAUGCCGCGUGUGUGAAGAAGGCCUUCGGGUUGUAAAGCACUUUUGUCCGGAAAGAAAUCCUUGGCCCUAAUACGGUCGGGGGAUGACGGUACCGGAAGAAUAAGCACCGGCUAACUACGU
rnacentral:rRNA from 1 species